UUGUGAGUAAAUUCUACAAUAAAUACUUAGUUUUACUUUCAGUAAGUGUGUCGUUUAUAGUUACAGCAUUAUUUUGGUGUCAGGAGUUUCAGGAUCCAGAUCCAGGCACCCAGAAAAGCGGCUGCUCCUCGGCCUGACCAGGCACACGUGGACUCUCCUUUCGCUAAGUUCCCCACCACUUUGCUCGGCAAGGCAUGAUUCCUGCCCCUGGGAACCAGCACCUUUUACCUGCCGAAAGAACAGCACUCAACUUCAUUUAAAAAAUCCCAGGGUAUCUAAAAGAAUACUGUACAAACAAACACAACAACAACAAAAACAAAAAAUGGACAAAGAACCCCCAGAAGGAGAAUAAAGGCAUGCAUCUAAGGACUCUGAAGACCACCAGACAAAUAAGAUAUGUGAAGAAAAAGGUCAAAUCAUACAGAAAAACUAUACCAAGAACAAGAGUUAUUUGGCCUAUUAGUAUAUCCCAUCUCCAACAGGAUACAAUUUCAUAAAUCCUCCCAACAGUUUGUUUCUGCUUCAGACAUAUAAUGCAAAUGGUUUUUUGUAGCCCCAAUCUAAUUAAAAAUUAAAACUGGCUUUUGA